UGACCAAGAAUGCAGGAAUCCAGAGAUAAGAGCUUCAGUCUCAAUUAAGUUUCUCUGAACUCCAGUUUCCUCUUCUCUGGGAAUAAUGAUACUUAGGUCAUCAAUCUCAUGAAUCUUGGAUGAAUACAGAAGAGAGAAAGCCAAGGAAGCAAGAUGCUGAAAGCGAUGAAACCCAGAAGAGAAGGGAAGACCAGCAGAUGCCGCCAUGUGCUCGCCAUGUGACAGAGGAGCUGGCAGCUGGUAUUCAGGAAGAAGGCAUUGUUUUGAUGAUGCCUUGAUUUGGACAUUUUCACAGCCUCAGAACUGAUGACCCACAGGCUACACUUCCCUCAACCUUCCAUCACAGGCAUUGCCUGGGGAGCUCACCGAGGUGUAGUUACCCUCAGAAAUGACCUGAGGGGACAGUGUCACCCUUAGGCAGGAGCAGACUUAGAUAAAAAAGAAAACAGGGUGUAUAGGACAAGACAGCACUGAAAGAAGAAAAACCCAGUGGCUUCCACACUAGAAGCAAUAAAAGGCAAAUUUGACAAUGCAAAAAUCAAAUCAAUAAUGGAAAUACUCCCAGAUGUGAAAUGAAUAAGGACGUUUUGAACAACUUGGAAUGUAGAAGGACAAGUCAUGGAAAUCCAACCUACAAAUAAUCUACAAGUCAAAGGCAUUCUUGAAGAAUAAAAUGAAACUGAAUCAUAAACCAUAAAAAUUUUGUCAAAAAAAAAACUUUACAGAUCUGCAAAGAAAACCAUAAUUGGAGGUUGAGAAGAUUCAACAUGAUCAAGGGGGAAAAAAUCAUGACAUUGUAUCAAGAAUAAGAAUUUUCCAGGCAAAAUUUUUAAUUUUUAAAUAAAAUGAUUCCUGCUGGCAAACAAACAAACAGACUUGGUUCCUUCAAAAGAUUUUAAAUAAACAGGACUGAGAUUUCUUCUUUGCAAUAACAAAUGCCAAAGACAGCAGAACGAUGUAUAAAGAGCUUUGGGGGAACAAAGUUAGACUCUAGAAUUUUAUCCCCAAACUGACUGCUGUUCAAGUUUGAAGACAACUAAAAGGUACUAUCGUAUCUGCAAAUAAGAGGUUUUUUUUUAAUCUUCUAAGAUUACCUUUAACUUUUUAAAUUAAAAUAGUUCAAUGUUGCAGAUUUAUAAAAUAUAGAAAAAAUAGAAAUUUAAAUCAUAUUACUAAACCCUGAAAAGAUCACUGUAGUUAAGAUUUUACCAAAAAGUUCCUUCUAAUCUUUGUUCUAUGCAUACUGUCGGAAACCAGGCUUCAGACUGUGUUUGUACUGAAACCUGCUGGAGUCACUGUUUGUCGUAGUCAUUUGGUCAGCAAGAAAGGGAAGUGGACGAAGCCGUUUUGAAAUUUUCCGAUAAAGAGGAACCUACAUGCUUUUUGUAGUGAUGAGUCAGAUUAAGACAGUUCAUUUAAGUGAAUGAUUUCCAUUUCUUACAGCAUACAUAUUACACAUUUAAAUGAAUAAUGCAUUUACCAAUUUUUUAUGUUGUCACAUAUUUCGCGUUGAGGGCCAAAUUUCUGGAAGAUUAAGAGGGAACUUGGAAUUAAAUGGCCCACAAAGGACUUCUAAUUAGAUUUGAAUAGCACAGGAAGCUGAUUGCUCCUUUCCACUAUCCAGCCUAGAAAGAAGCACAUGCAUGCACUUAAAUUUGAAUAAAAUCUUUCUCCACCUGUAUGGUGUCUUUGUGUAC